ACCAGAUCCGAAUGGUGGCAUCAGGAGAAGCUGAGAACACCAAAUCCUGUGAGGGGUGGAACACGACACUGGUGACCUUCUUGGAGUGGCCCUUGAGCGUUGCCAGGAUCUGCUCAGAGCUCUUGUCAAAGACGAUGACAUUUUUAUCAGCCCCACCGGUGAGGAUCUUGUUGGUGUCGGAAGGACAGAGGUCCAAGGCCAGGAUACCUGGGAUGCUGGCGCUGUGCAACCCCACAUGCGAGGCGACCUGCCGGUACUUGCUGAGCUCCUCUGGCUUCACCAACUCCUCUGGCACUGUCUUGCCCCUCUUCUUGCGCUCUGUGGUCAGCACGGUGGCCUUGUCUUGAAGCUUCUGGAUAAUCUCAGGAGUCAUGCCUGCAAGUUCACCCAAGUCCAUGGACUCCCCAGCUCCCGCCACGUUGGGCUGUGAGGACGGCACUGCCUGUGGCACGAUGAGGCCAGCCUGUGGUUUCAGCGUGGCCAGAGCUUCUCUGGCAGCAGUGACCUCCUUGGUGAGCCGUGCGAUGACACGGCAGGCAGCAUCGUGCUGGUACAGCGCGUGGGACAGCUCCUGGCGCGUGGUCUGCAGCUGCUGGCGCAGCGUGAAGCUGUGCAGCAUAACGGCAUCCCACUCAUCCUGCAGCGCCUUCAGAAUGGCCGGGAUGCUGGUGGCCGACGGUGGCUUGGGCCGGAUGGGAUGGGCAACUUUGAUGUCGAUGAGCUGCUCCUCAGACAACGGCUGGUUGUUGACGGGGUCGGUGCCGUUCUCUGCGAUGUAUUUCUCGAUCAGCCGCCGCUCGUACACGUGGUUGGACACCGGCGACACGCACGGGUGCUCGGGGACCUCGUUGGAGAUGGAGCAGAUGAGGGCCAUGGCGGGCCCUGCGCGCUCCGCUUCCGGCUGCUCCUGGUUCCGCUUCCGGCUCCGCGCGGCCUCACCGACGCUCGGAGCUCUUGCGCGGGCUCCGCUCAGGCGGCAGC
rnacentral:lncRNA from 1 species